GAGACUUGUGCUUGCCAGUGGGGUCAGGGAGGAAGUGGAUGCCACUGGGACUCUGGGCUUUAGGGAUGCAAACAAUUGCAUCUGGACUGGCUAUGCGAUGAGAGCCCACUGGAUCGCACAGGGAUACAAUAUCCAGCCACUCACGAAGGAACGUGAUAGAGGAUAGUGGGAGAAAAUGUAAGCAUGUAUAUGGGUGUGCUGUGUGCGUGUGUGCACGCGUGUGCGACAGGAUCACUUUCCUGCACAGCAGAAAUUAACAGAAAAAUUAAAAACCGAGUGUAAGGAAAAAAUUAAAAUCAUUAAAGAAAACUUAGAACUUUCCUGAGGGGUAAUUCUAGGAAAAGUAUGCUAAUGAAGGGAUCUUAAACCAAAACGUUGAUCUUAAAAACCAAAAUAGAACACAUGACAAUACUGAAAUCCAACCACUAUCCAUCACAUGACAGUUUUUUCUGCAGGCUUCAUUUGUGCAUGGGCCUUGAGCAAAAAGGAUGUCUGCCCUCCCAAGAGCCUUACAACAAGAGGGACUUACUUCAUGGAGAGAAACACAGAGGGAGCACGGAGUCCUUCUCACCCAGAUGGGCAGCGAGUUUGUACAAUGGUGCCGCACACCAGGCUAAGGAUGAGGGUGAACUGUGAGCUCUUACUUGCAAGGUCGCCUGGGUGUGUGCUACCUAGGGUGGGUGGGUGGUCAAGUGUGAGAAUGACAGUGACACUGUCCAAUACAAGCAUACGCCUCGCCGAUUCCCAUCUGCUUUGGCCAUGUUGAAGCAAUGACCGCAGCACUGACAGGGACCUUUUAAAAUGCACAGCAUCGACAGGCCCUCUGGAGACCCUGGAAUUCCCGGGCAUAGACACGGAGCAGGGACCCUCCCCGCUCCGUGCUCCCCACGAACGACCAAGUCCUGGCUGAGGGAGAGGUGCAGGUCAGGGGUCCAGAGCGUCCCCAUAGGGAACCCAGCCUGGGUCCCACUUUGGCUUUCCCAUGUAGGAGGUCAAGAGCUUGGGCCAACUCUCUCUGCACCAUCUCCACCUGAGCAACGGGAAAAUUAAGCCAACGUGGGGACAGCAGUGGUGAGGGGCGAAUGCAUGCCUAUAGGGGUGGUACGCAGAGGUGAUGGGUUUCUUAAGGAACGUUGAGCGGUAUUUUCUGUAAAAUAGGAGAGAGCUCAUGAGGAAACAGAUACUUACACCACAUGUGCUCACACAUGGACCUCACUCCCUGUCCCUCGGAAUGUGUCACAACCCAAGGAAUCAACACAAGAGACUUGUGUCCAGGGCAGGUGCCACCAGGGCAUCACUAUGACUGGGAAAGAGCUGCCUGCUCCACAUCCCAGACUACCCCCUUUCCAAAAGGAACCCAGGAUCUGGCUGCUCUCCAACCAAUGCCCGCAAGGAAGACCCACCUUCUUCUUCUUCACCCCGAUUGUUUGUCACUGGAGUGGGGCGCUCCAAAGCCAUGCCAUUAUUAUUAGUUGCGUCAUCGGCCGGCAUCUAGUGCAAGAAAACAGUGUGAGAAUCUAAGCUUCCUGGUCUCUAUGGACAUGAGAAUUUUCAUGGUCUUUCUGCCCAGCAAAACCCAAAAGGGAAACACUCCUCGAGUCCACGGUCCCAAAGAAAACACAGAGGUCAUCCUGGACAAAGGCUUCAAAUCUUCCUGUAGGAAUUCUUAUGUGUACUUUGACCAAAACCCACCAAAUUCUCUUGCAAGGAGGGCAAUUCUGCUGGUAACAUUGCUCUCAGCCGCACUUCCAGUUUCUAGAGGCUGC
ensembl:lncRNA